CUCACCGCGCCGGGAUUUAUUGGUUAGUCAGGUACCUUCAAGCUAAAUUGAAUCUAAUCCUGGAUGUUCUGAUGACCUUUUACCUGGGGGACAUCACUGUGCUUUGGUCAGAUGGAUCCAAAGCCUAUGCCAGGAACACUGGGCACAAGUCUUGAAUACACCAUGCACUCUCAGAAAAAAUUAGUACUAAACUCCUAAACUAAAUUUAGAAUAGCCAGUCCGCCUACUGACAUGUUUUUGGGAGGUUGGUGGAAACUGAAGAACCCAGAGGAAACCCACGUAGACAUGAAGAGAACAUGUGAAACUCCACACAGUCAUUCAGCUAAACUCAGGGUCAAACUAGGAAAUCCGGAGCUACCCAGUAACCCAUCAUGGCAAAUAAAUUAUGUGCCAUGACUUAUUUAUUGGUGCCAUUAGAGCUUGUUAUUCCUGAACCUCCCAUCUGUGGAAACCCAAACAAAUUACACUGCAUUAAAAUGUAGAUUCAAGUAUGAUACAUUUUGCGUCAUAUUAAUGUAACUUUUGCUAUUUUUUUUUAUUAAACUGGCAUUUUAACACAA